rnacentral:rRNA from 1 species
UGCAGCGACGCCGCGUGAGGGAUGACGGCCUUCGGGUUGUAAACCUCUUUCAGCAGGGAAGAAGCCACAAGUGACGGUACCUGCAGAAGAAGCGCCGGCUAACUACGUGCCAGCAGCCGCGGUAAUACGUAGGGCGCAAGCGUUGUCCGGAAUUAUUGGGCGUAAAGAGCUCGUAGGCGGUCUGUCGCGUCUGCUGUGAAAGCCCGGGGCUCAACCCCGGGUCUGCAGUGGGUACGGGCAGACUAGAGUGCAGUAGGGGAGACUGGAAUUCCUGGUGUAGCGGUGAAAUGCGCAGAUAUCAGGAGGAACACCGAUGGCGAAGGCAGGUCUCUGGGCUGUUACUGACGCUGAGGAGCGAAAGCAUGGGGAGCGAACAGGAUUAGAUACCCUGGUAGUCCAUGCCGUAAACGUUGGGCACUAGGUGUGGGGGACAUUCCACGUUCUCCGCGCCGUAGCUAACGCAUUAAGUGCCCCGCCUGGGGAGUACGGCCGCAAGGCUAAAACUCAAAGGAAUUGACGGGGGCCCGCACAAGCGGCGGAGCAUGCGGAUUAAUUCGAUGCAACGCGAAGAACCUUACCAAGGCUU